AGACUUCAAACCCAUUGAGGGGUCGCAUCC
rnacentral:tRNA from 11 species